rnacentral:rRNA from 1 species
AGUGAGGAAUAUUGCACAAUGGGGGCAAUCCUGAUGCAGCAACGCCGCGUGGAGGAUGACGCAUUUCGGUGUGUAAACUCCUUUUAUAUGUCAAGAAAAUGACGGUAGCAUAUGAAUAAGCACCGGCUAACUCCGUGCCAGCAGCCGCGGUAAUACGGAGGGUGCAAGCGUUACUCGGAAUCACUGGGCGUAAAGGACGCGUAGGCGGGUUGGUAAGUCAGAUGUGAAAUCCUACAGCUUAACUGUAGAACUGCAUUUGAAACUACUAACCUAGAGUAUGGGAGGGGGAGAUGGAAUUAGUGGUGUAGGGGUAAAAUCCGUAGAUAUCACUAGGAAUACCGAAAGCGAAGGCGAUCUCCUGGAACAUUACUGACGCUAAGGCGUGAAAGCGUGGGGAGCAAACGGGAUUAGAUACCCCGGUAGUCCACGCCCUAAACGAUGUUCACUAGUCGUCGGGAUGCUAGUCAUCUCGGUGAUGCACUUAACAGAUUAAGUGAACCGCCUGGGGAGUACGGUCGCAAGAUUAAAACUCAAAGGAAUAGACGGGGACCCGCACAAGUGGUGGAGCAUGUGGUUUAAUUCGAAGAUACGCGAAGAACCUUACCUAGCCUUGACAUUGAUAGAAUACACCAGAGAUGGAGUAGUGCCUUUCGGGGAACUUGAAAACAGGUGCUGCACGGCUGUCGUCAGCUCGUGUCGUGAGAUGUUGGGUUAAGUCCCGCAACGAGCGCAACCCUCGUCCUUAGUUGCCAGCAGGUUAAGCUGGGCACUCUAAGGAGACUGCCUUCGUAAGGAGGAGGAAGGUGAGGACGACGUCAAGUCAUCAUGGCCCUUAUGGCUAGGGCUACACACGUGCUACAAUGGGGCGUACAGAGUGUUGCGAUACCGCGAGGUGGAGCUAAUCACUUAAAGCGUCUCUCAGUUCGGAUAGCAGUCUGCAACUCGACUGCUUGAAGCUGGAAUCACUAGUAAUCGUAGAUCAGCAAUGCUACGGUGAAUACGU